UAGUUUCUUCAUAGGAAAAUAUAAACUCUAGAUGGUGCAUAUAUUAAAUGUCCAUAUACUACUCAAUUAUAAUUAAGACCCGCAUGCACGAGGAUAGUAUUCGUUAUUACGGUAAUUGGACACAUACGUACAAAUAAUGGAAAUACAUUUCUUUACAAAAAAAAAAAAAAAUGUACAAGGAGGUUUAUCAUUUAUGGUAGGGUAAACCUUUUCGGUUAAUCAAUUAUGAGCUGAAUAUACAUUACAAAUUCUACGCAAUGAUGAGUUUCGUUUUAAAUUUAUAUUUUGGAAACAAAUUG
rnacentral:lncRNA from 1 species